rnacentral:rRNA from 1 species
CGGAGCCGUCGAAGGUGUGUCUGGUAAGGAGGGUGAAGUCGUAACAAGGUAGCCGUACCGGAAGGUGCGGCUGGAUCACCUCCUUUCUAAGGAGC